AUUGAACGCUGGCGGCAGGCCUAACACAUGCAAGUCGAGCGAGCGGCGGACGGGUGAGUAAUGUCUGGGGAUCUGCCUGAUGGAGGGGGAUAACUACUGGAAACGGUGGCUAAUACCGCAUACCAUCGGAUGUACCCAUAUGGGAUUAGCUAGUAGGUGGGGUAAAGGCUCACCUAGGCGACGAUCCCUAGCUGGUCUGAGAGGAUGAACAGCCACACGGGGACUGAGACACGGUCCAGACUCCUACGGGAGGCAGCAGUGGGGAAUAUUGCACAAUGGGCGCAAGCCUGAUGCAGCCAUGCCGCGUGUAUGAAGAAGGCCUUAGGGUUGUAAAGUACUUUCAGUCGGGAGGCGUUACCGGCAGAAGAAGCACCGGCUAACUCCGUGCCAGCAGCCGCGGUAAUAC
rnacentral:rRNA from 1 species